AGAUUGCUGUUGUAUACAGACCAGAGGAGCAAGAUCAGCCUGCAGUUACGAAAGCUGCAGUCCCAGUAGCAAAACGUAUGUUGGAACAUUAACCACGCAGCGAAAAAACUAAAUCUAAAAUAACUUACUUAUACUAAAUAACUCUAUCAGUUCUAAACUGUUCUUUCUAGAGUUCCAUUAUGGAUCAUCCCUUAUUGAUCCAGUUUCACCACAGGAGAAAACCUAAACUAAACUAACUCUAUGUAUACUGGAUAAGAAAACUGUUCUUCCUAGAGGCUCAGUAAGGGUCAUCUCUUAUUGAUCUAGUGUUACUACAGGAGAAACCUAAACUAAACUAACUUUAUUUAUACUGGAUAUCCCUAAUAGUUCUAAACUGUUCUUCCUAGAGUUCCAGUAAGGGUCAUCUAUUAUUGAUCUAGUGUUACUACAGGAGAAACCUACACUAAACUAACUUUAUUUAUACUGGAUAGCUCUAUCAGUUCUAAACUAUUUUUCCUAAAUGUCCAGUGAGGGUCAUCUCUUAUUGAUCUAGUGUUACUACAGGAGGAAACCUAAACUAAACUAACUUUAUUUAUAAUGGAUAGCUCUACCAGUUCUACACUAUUUUUCCUAAAGGUCCAGUAAAGAUCGUCUCUUCUUGAUCCAGUGUUAAUGGACCUCUAGGUAGAACAGUUAGAACUAUUAGGGAUAUCCAGUAUAGAUAAAGGCAGUUUAGUUUCUGAUUUUAACUUUUCGUAUUUUUAGCACUAUGCGAAGACAUAUGUCAACAUCGAUGCCUCCAGUCUUGUCACAUCGCGUGUUGUGUUCCCGAUCUUACUCCGACGAUGCGCGACGUCAUCGCGAGGCGGAUGGAAAAGAGUGAAACGAAGCACGAUCACAAGAAGAAAUGUCCAAAGCGAUGCAAGAAAUCGUGUGAUCCGUCCUGCGACUUUGUGUGUUGUUUACCAGAUAAACAAAGAAGAAAAUAUAAGAAUUAUGUCUAGAUAAUUAUGAUGCUUAACCAAUGACGGACAGAAGCACAGGGGGGGGGGGAGGGACGUGUUGUAUAAUGGACAGAUUUAGAGAACAUGACGCAAACUGAAAGGCGCGCCUUCGAAAAAAGAAAUUCAUGCAAAACAAAACGUUUGAAUAAUUUGUGGUACCAGGAGUAUCCUCAAAAGCGUCGAGACUGGUCUUCUACUACAGUAUACACUUGUUUGGUUAUACUCAGGUGCAUGCCUGGCCUUACCUGCAAGGAGGGGUGCAGGUUUUCCAUGAGGGAGCCUCACUGCCCACUCUCCUCUGCAGUCUGUAACGUUACUAUCCCA